rnacentral:rRNA from 1 species
UACGUAGGGGGCAAGCGUUGUCCGGAAUUAUUGGGCGUAAAGAGCGUGUAGGCGGCCAGAUAAGUCCGCUGUGAAAUCUCGAGGCUCAACUUCGAGCUGUCGGUGGAAACUAUUUGGCUAGAGUCCGGAAGAGGAGAAUGGAAUUCCUGGUGUAGCGGUGAAAUGCGCAGAUAUCAGGAAGAACACCCGUGGCGAAGGCGGUUCUCUGGGACGGUACUGACGCUGGAGACGCGAAAGCGUGGGGAGCGAACAGG